rnacentral:rRNA from 1 species
CCAGCAGCCGCGGUAAUUCCAGCUCCAAUAGCGUAUAUUAAAGUUGUUGCAGUUAAAAAGCUCGUAGUUGAAUUUCGAGACCGGUUUACUGGUCGUGCUUUUGUACGUACUGGUAUUAUUGGUUUCUCCUUUCUGACGAAUCAUAAUGCCAUUAAUUUGGUGUUUUGGGGAAUCAGGACUGUUACUUUGAAAAAAUUAGAGUGUUUAAAGCAGGCUCACGCUUGAAUACAUUAGCAUGGAAUAACGAAAUAGGACGUUUGAUUUUAUUUUGUUGGUUUCUAGGAUCGACGUAAUGAUUAAUAGGGAUAGUUGGGGGCAUUAGUAUUCAAUUGUCAGAGGUGAAAUUUUUGGAUUUAUUGAAUUUGCCAAGGAUGUUUUCAUUAAUCAAGAACGAAAGUUAGGGGAUCGAAGACGACCAGAUACCGUCGUAGUCUUAGCCAUAAACUAUGCCGACUAGGGAUCGGAUGAUGUUAAUUUUUUAAUGACUCA